CAUAAUAAGUGUUUUAUGGCACUUUUUAAAUCCAUAUCCACCUUGUGUGCAAUGUCAGUCGAUCUUCUUCAUGGAGAUCGACCAAACAUCAACCUUUAUCUUUUAACAUCUUUGUCUGAAAAAUAUUAUGAAUAAACAAUUCAAAAUA
rnacentral:misc_RNA from 1 species